UACGUAGGGUGCAAGCGUUGUCCGGAAUUAUUGGGCGUAAAGGGCUCGUAGGCGGUUUGUCGCGUCGGGAGUGAAAACACACAGCUUAACUGUGUGCUUGCUUCCGAUACGGGCAGACUAGAGGUAUGCAGGGGAGAACGGAAUUCCUGGUGUAGCGGUGAAAUGCGCAGAUAUCAGGAGGAACACCGGUGGCGAAAGCGGUUCUCUGGGCAUUACCUGACGCUGAGGAGCGAAAGUGUGGGGAGCGAACAGG
rnacentral:rRNA from 1 species